AACGAACGCUGGCGGCAGGCCUAACACAUGCAAGUCGAGCGAUGACUUCGGUUCUAGCGGCGGACGGGUGAGUAACGCGUGGGAAUGUGCCCUUCUCUACGGAAUAGCCCUGGGAAACUGGGAGUAAUACCGUAUACGCCCUUUUGGGGAAAGAUUUAUCGGAGAAGGAUCAGCCCGCGUUGGAUUAGGUAGUUGGUGGGGUAAUGGCCUACCAAGCCGACGAUCCAUAGCUGGUUUGAGAGGAUGAUCAGCCACACUGGGACUGAGACACGGCCCAGACUCCUACGGGAGGCAGCAGUGGGGAAUCUUAGACAAUGGGGGCAACCCUGAUCGAGCCAUGCCGCGUGAGUGAUGAAGGCCUUAGGGUUGUAAAGCUCUUUCAGCUGGGAAGAUAAUGACGGUACCAGCAGAAGAAGCCCCGGCUAACUCCGUG
rnacentral:rRNA from 1 species